ensembl:lincRNA
GAAAGAGUUGUGAGCUGUCCAUGCUCUUCUGAAACUUGGCUGAGAUGGUCUGGAAUGGAAUCCCAAGGCUCCUAAAACAAGAUUUUGCCUAUAGAUGGGUGCAGAAGAAUUCCUGCUGUUAUGGAAGGAUAUGAGAAACAUCUCUUCUAGGACAAGGUCAUUACUACCAAGAGACAGCACAAUGUCUUCUAAAGCAGAAGUUCAAUUAGGGAGUUGGAUAGGAGAAUGUGCCAUUCAUAGAUGAGCAACAUUCCCAGACAUUAUCCAAAGGAUGGUAUUUUUAUAUUCGUGAAUAUAGUCCAAAACCUGGGCCUAUGCAGCAUAAGACCUCUCAAGUGACCUUCCAAAUGCUAGAAAAUGCC